UAUGAAAGUCUCACUUAUGAA
rnacentral:piRNA from 1 species